UCAGCUAACAGUAUUGCUAAGAUUGAGGUAAGAUGUUCAUUUAUUGUUUUAACAUUAGUGAUUUGUCAAACUUUGGAAAUAUAGAAUAAUGAAGGAUUUUUUUCAUCUGUUUAUUCUUAUGAUAGAAUCUACUUAUUAUCAAAGGAUUACUGUGGCUUUUAUCGAACAAGCUGUUUCUUGCAGUAUUGGUACUUAAGGGCAUACGAUACAGUUACAGGGGAGGUAAUGACGUUGCUAACGUAAAAUGUUAUUUUCGCGACGUCAAACUGUGAUAUAUCGGAAAAAGAUGCAUUUUUCGACUAAUUUUUAUCACUCAAACUGAUUUAAUUUGAAAACGAGUGCAUGGACCCCUAUUUUUUAAAAUGACAUUUUGUUUCAUUUUGCAGGGAG
rnacentral:lncRNA from 1 species